rnacentral:rRNA from 1 species
CCCUUCGAUGUUCUGGGCCGCACGCGCGCUACACUGAUCGAGUCAACAAGUUUACAACCUUCUCCGAAAGGAGUGGGUAAUCUUUUGAAACUCGAUCGUGAUAGGGAUAGAUGAUUGCAAUUAUUUGUCUUGAACGAGGAAUGCCUAGUAGGGUUGAUUCAACAGAUCGACCCGAUUACGUCCCUGCUCUUUGUACACACCGCCCGUCGCUCCUACCGAUUGAAUGGUCCGGUGAAGCGUUCGGACCGUGGCCUUUGGACGGUUCGCCGUCUGUUGGCUGCGGGAAGUUCGUUAAACCUUAUCAUUUAGAGGAAGGAGAAGUCGUAACA